CCCUAAGAUAAGACUUCAAUAAAUCUUCUAAAUCGUAUAAAAGCAGUUGAGUCUCAAAAAAUCAAAUCAGAAUAAAAGUAAAGUCCACAAUUUUACAAAAAUGAAAACUCCAACUUUUGUGUUGUUAAUUCUUGCUUCAAUUUUUGCCAUUGUUUAUGGCCAAAACGGACAAUGUGCAGAUUCGUGUCCACAAAUUUUUGAUCCCGUUUGUGCUUUCAAUGGUGCGACUCAUGAAGAAUUCUCUAAUUCGUGCUAUUUGGCAAUUGCAAAUUGUAACAGCAAUAAUGCUUACACACCAGUAGAUCGUCAGAAUUGUAAAUAAAAUCUAAGAGCAUCCCGUAAUGAACUUUACUAUCCACAAAAUAUUUGGUGCACUUUUUUUUAAGAUUCAUAAAAAGCAAAUACACAUUUUUGUUCAAUACUUAA